UGCCUGGCAGUUCCCUACUCUCGCAUGGGGAGACCCCACACUACCAUCGGCGCUACGGCGUUUCACUUCUGAGUUCGGCAUGGGGUCAGGUGGGACCACCGCGCUACUGCCGCCA
rnacentral:rRNA from 2 species